CCUACGGGUGGCAGCAGUGGGGAAUAUUGCACAAUGGGGGAAACCCUGAUGCAGCGACGCCGCGUGAGUGAAGAAGUAUCUCGGUACGUAAAGCUCUAUCAGCAGGGAAGAAAAUAACGGUACCUGACUAAGAAGCCCCGGCUAAAUACGUGCCAGCAGCCGCGGUAAUACGUAGGGGGCAAGCGUUAUCCGGAUUUAUUGGGUGUAAAGGGAGCGUAGGCGGCAGCGCAAGUCUGGAGUGAAAUCACGGGGCUUAACCCCGGAACUGCUUUGGAAACUGUGCGGCUGGAGUGCAGGAGGGGUAAGCGGAAUUCCGAGUGUAGCGGUGAAAUGCGUAGAUAUUAGGAGGAACACCGGUGGCGAAGGCGGCUUACUGGACUGUAACUGACGUUGAGGCGCGAAAGCGUGGGGAGCGAACAGGAUUAGAUACCCGGGUAGUC
rnacentral:rRNA from 1 species